AUAUUGAUAGAUCAUAUACGCAUAAACAUAAGAUAAAAGUGCACCGGGAGAGCUUAGGAAGAGAUUUAAGAAAUCUAUCAUCAGCAGGAAAACGAGACAGAAACGGGAGGGAGCAAUGCGAAUAAAUAUGAAGCUAUAAAAAGAGCGAGAGAGGUUCCGAUCGAAAGAGACAGCUGAGCGAACCGCCAGGACCUCGACCGAGAGUGGAGAGCGUCGGUCAAAUAUUCUGAAAAGGAAGCUAAGCGUGAUGGAAAGAAAUGUCUUUGGCAAAUGACAGAAGCAGAGAUACAUUUCCUCCUAAUUGCACUUGACAUAGUUAUGCUAGCGACAUGUAAGCUCGCUUCUUCAGGCGUUUUAAGGCGCCGGUGUGAUCGCACGACUGAAGUGGAAGAGUGAGACGAUGGGAUAAAUAGGAUGUCUUGCGAGGAGUGACGAGGAGUUAUUAUUUCCGCCAUUUCGUUGGUAGUAUAAUAACCCUUUUAUACGUCAGUGCUUGGGAGAAAAUAAUAGCCGGGUGGGGAGACGGUAACUUCAGAAGGUUGACUUGGGAUGACUUAGGACUCCACUUUCGACUGACUUACUGACCGACUUUACAGUAUUAGUGACUUAGAAGUUGACAUUAGACUGACUUAAAUGACCUUUCAUUACAGAAACGACUUGGAAAAAAUAUAUAUAAUAAAGCCUACACCAAAACGACUUUUAGGAAUGAUUUAGAUCACACAGGAAAUGAAAUAAAACAGAGUGCGAUCCAAACGGAAAGAAUAACAUUUUGAAUUUCGUGGAAGACGGGGCAACAGUGCAUCCCAAAAAACUUUAACCCAAACACAGUGCUUAACAAGAGGAUUUUCAGUGAUACAUCGAAGUCAGACUGAUCGCCUGCAUUCCCUUCAGUCUCGUUGGCGGGAAGCUCGACGUAUCCUGAGGACGCGAUUCCGGAUGAGCGGCGGCGCGGAGGACUCCUGGCGGCAGCUCGGGUGUCCAGCAGGUCGCAGCAGCAGGUGCUGGGGCGGCCGCCAGACUGAGCGUAUAUUUAGUGGCACAGUGACGGCGGUGGGACUGAGGGUACCGCGGG